AGCAUCCACUGAUGUUGUCUAAGUAAGCAUCCACAACAGGAGUCACUAGCAAGUACAUGUACCCUCUCCCUCAGACCCGAAAUUUUGUUUUGUUUAAUUUUAAUUUCAAAUUCAUACUUUUAUGAUCGUGUUUACUCUUUUAUUUUCUUGACAGACUACACAAAAUGUUAUGAGAUAGAAAGGUGAAAGGUCAAAGUAAGACGUGGUCAGGAAGUGAGCAGUUCAUAUAAUCAUUUUUGUACUAUGUAUACACAUUCAAAUGUCUCUGCACUUUGUUGACUUCAAAUGGUUGAAGAACAUACGGAAUAUUUCUUGUCUUUCACUUCCUGUGUUUGUGUUGCCUUUUUUGUUAAACUGCUGACACUUGUGCACGGACCUAUAUAGCAGCAACUUGUGUGGAAGCCUGGAAAAAUAUGCCAACGUAGAAAAGUGUACAGCUUAUGGACACGUGUACAGCUUCAUGUCGCAGCGAUACUGUUGUCGACCAUACAUUUGGAUUACGCGUUUUUUAGGCAUUGACUUGUCCACUAACGUUUGAAUAGGAUGAACAUUUUACUUUUCAGUUGCUCAUUACAAACAGAUCAUACGUUCAAAGUGUUCUGUUGUUAUACUCAACUGUUUCUAGGACUUGCAACUAAAGUAUAACUAUUAUAAAGGUGUAUGUAUCGAUUUAGACU